AUGUGGAGAUUGGCACACAAUAGUCAUCCUUUGCUGCGAAACGUGGAGCACAUUGGAGUUGAACUGGACACAAGUUGCGUGGUGUGCCAUCGUCUGCUGGAGGACGGAGGGCACUUGUUUCUGCGCUGCAAAGAGGUAAAGAAAAUGUGGAGUGCUUGUGGUCUGGAGGGUGUUCGUCAAAGCCUGCUUGAAUGCCAAACAUCUCGCCGGCUGCUGGAGGAACUCUUUCGUAUACCCGAGGAUGUAAAACUAAGAGCAAUUUGCCUCAUGUGGUUGUGGUGGACAGAGAGGAACAAAGCGAAUCAUAACCAAAACAGAGCAUCAGCGGAGGAGUUUCAGUCUUCAGUUACCAGACAUGUCACUAAAUGGCGGGAAUACAAUGCAAAACAUGUACAACCAAGAGUGCAGAGGAUUCAGAAAUGGGUCAAGCCAGCUCUGGAUGUGGUUAAAAUCAACAUUGAUGCAGCUUUUAGGGGCCUGUCAUAA
rnacentral:rRNA from 1 species